rnacentral:lncRNA from 1 species
GCAUGAAAGGUGGUUACUUAAUUAGGAUCUUACUCUCUGAGUAAGGGGAGCCUCCCACCUGCUUACCUGGCCAAUUGUUCGAUUACUUCUUAUGAAGAGCUCAAGUUGCAAACACUAAGACCUGAUUAACCAAUAUUAAGUCAAUAGGUCUUCCACUAUAGUAGAGCUGCUAAGGUCUUUCUGAUGUUGAUUUGUCUCGGCUGGACACAGUGGGCAAGUUGUAUCGGGGGGCUGGACCUCUCUAUAGACAUGAGAUGUUGUAGGGUAAAGGUGGGGUUGGGCACCAAUAACUGUUAGGUGAGGACCCAAUGAUGACUUUAU